GUGGCGCUGAUGAGACUGGCGGGGGGAGGGGGGGCACUCAGUCUUACCCACCGUCGGAGAGGGACAGGGAGGGGGAGAGGGUGAAGAGGCAGGAGAGCUCAGAGAGAGAGGGAACAGGUUACAGCAGGAGCGAGAAGGCUGGUAGGGAACGUGGCCGUCAGAGCACAAGAUCGCCACCUGCUGUUCCUCCCAGGAAAGGCAAAGCUGGCACGAGGGAGGAGGACAGGACUGGCACGAGGGGUGAGGGCAAAGCUGGCACGAGGGAUGAGGACAGGAGUGGCACGAGGGGUGAGGACAGGACUGGCACGAGGGGUGAGGGCAGGACAGCAGAGGAAGACUAUGCAGAGCAGGAAGCAGGAAGCACUAAAGACGAGGGGAGGGAACAUGUGCAUGGAGACAGGAAGACUGAACAGAAGGGACAAGAUGAAACUCAAAACAACAACAAGCACUUAGAGAUGAGCAAACAUAACAAACAUGAAGCCCACUUAGAGAUGAGCAAAGAUAACAAACAGAAUAACUCUACUGAGGACUCUGCUAAGACUAGUACACAAGAGUCCUGGACAAAGACAGUCACCUACACAGAGAAAGAGUCACAGAAAGCUGAGAAUAAGACUCAUGAAAGAGAUACGCUGCACAAAACAAAGAUAAAACCAGAGAUAAACUCAAAACAGUUCGAGACAGCGCAGAAGCAAACCCCUAAGGGGCAGGAAUGUCCUGGUUCUCCAGAGGUGCAGGAAGUGAUUCGCGGGUCGUCUCUUGGGGAAGAGAAGAGUGAGAAGGAGGAGGAGGCGAAGGAGAGAGACAGCGAGGUGUCCGCUCAGAAGGGUCAGAGGGCGAAGCAGAGGCAGAGUUAUGUGAAAGACUUCUUAAGCCUGCUGGGGCUGUCCGGCGAAGAGAAGGCCACAGCUGACCACGAGGCAGCUACCGAGAGGAACAGCAGCGAACACCAACCUGCGUCCCCUGAACUCCACAACACACACACACCUGUGGGGGACAGCGUAACCAUUCACGACAUCCUGAAGCACAGGUCCCCCCCCGUGUACAGUCCACUGCAGUCCCCCGUGAGGUCCCCCUCUUCAUACAGCCAUAACUUAUCUCAGAAGCACUCAACAGAACAGGAGUGCAGCGUUAAGUUGGAGCAGAGAGGAGCAGAUGUUAGCAAGCCAAAGGAGGACUUGGUGAAGCCAAAGGAGGACUUGGUGAAGCCAAAGGAGGACUCGGUGAAGCCUGAGUUAGACUACUGCACCUUCGGUGACCCAGGAAGUGAAUCAGAUGCUUCGGAGCGGCAGAUUGUGUCUCCUCUCAGUGACCUGGACCACGCCGGAUGGCUCCGCGGUCUGAUCGAACACGCCCAGAGCCUCACCCCGAAAGACCUGACACCCGUCAGCUUGACCCCCAGCCAGUCCAAUGCCUCCUCACCCACCCCGGCCACCAAGCCAGUGCUGUUCAAGGUGAAGGACAACACGUUCGCCUCCUCCUCCACCUCCUCCACCUCCUCCCCCGUCACCAAGACGGUCCGGCCCGUCCUGCACAAGUCCGUCCAGGACAUGAUCACAAAGCCCUGGUCCCCCCCGCAGGACAGCCUGAGCGGCUCAAAGCCCUGGUCCCCGCAGGAGAACCCGAGCGGGUCAAAGCCCUGGUCCCCCCCGCAGGAGAGUCUGAGCGGGUCAAAGCCCUGGUCCCCGCGCGAGAGCCUGAGCGGGUCCGAGAGGGGCGAGGAGGAGCCGGACCGCCCCAGGGAGGCACUGCGGAUCCCCAUCUUGGUGGAGACGGCCAGCUCCCCACUCCCAGAGAGCUCCCACUCCACACCUGCAGAGGGCGCCGCUGCCCCUCUGCCCCCCUCACCCUCCCGGCCGCCCCCCUCACCCUCCCGGCUGCCCCAGGGGCAGAUGCUGGAGGUGCCGGAGGAGGGGGGGCGGGGCUCUGUCUCGAGUAGCCUAUCGGAGGGCGUGAGAAGCAACGACACGAGCGUGGGUGACGAGACGGGGCUGGGCGCGGCACAGACCGACGACCCAGAGGGCGAGAGGUGCGAGUCGGAGUCGGUCUGCAGUGGCACAGAGGGCACAGAGGGUCUGAGCAGGAAGCCCCCGCCCGCCGUCUUGCCCAAAAGUGAGAAGGCACUGAGACGGGCCAAGAGGCUGACCACCCGCCGCAUCCAGAAGGCAGAGGUGAAGGGCCGCAAAACGGACCGCAAGAACCGCAGUGCAGAGAAGCCGGAACCCGACAAGAAGAACCACAGCGGAGAGAAGGUAGAGCUCGACCUGAAGAACUGGAUCCAGAACAAUCCAGGGACUGACCAGGAGCACCAGGGCAGAGAGAGAACAGAGUCAGAGCACAAUCACCACAGCAGUGAUCACCAUAGCAACAGGCACAUUCACCACAGCAGUGAUCACCAUAGCGACAGGCACAUUUACCACAGCAGCAGCAGCGAGAAACAACAGGACAAAUCGAAAAACAGUGAUCACCAUAGCAACAUGCCCUCGAGCCACAGCGGUCCCCAUGACCACGACCGCAAAGGCAGGAGCGGCGAGAAACACGCGCGCGUCAAACAUGCGAGCUACAGCAGCGACAGGCACAUCGGCAACCAUAGAGACCUGAGGAGCCAUGGCAACGGGAGAGACUCUGCUGAGCAGGUGUCCGAGCAGCAUCAGCAUCAGCAUCAGCACCAGCACCAGCAGGUUUACCUGAUGGAGAGUCCCAGUGAUAUCGGUUGCCGUGGCGACCGGAGGAGCAGGAGUCUGGAGCGAGACCUCCAGCCCCGCCCCAGCCAGCACCGGCGCCAGUCACGUGACCACAACCACGCAGGAAGUGACAUCAAAUCAGCCCAGUCGUCCAGAGGUUCAUCCCGCCGCACCUCCCUCAACGGCCUCCUUGUGCGUCAGAACAGCUCCGAGCACACGUACCCCCCCCAGACCACACGUACCCCCCCACGACCUCUAACCUGGUGCCCCAGUCCUUCCCCAUGACCCAGCGGAAGCUGCUGCAGGAUCCCGACUCGGGCCAGUACUUUGUGGUGGACAUGCCAGUGCAGGUCAAGACCAAGACCUUCUUCGACCCGGAGACCGGCAGCUACGUGCACCUCCCUGUGCAGUCAGCAGAGGGCGCUCUGCCAGCAGGGCCGGGUCCCGUCUCUAUGGAGAUGCUGAACCCGUCCAUGGUGGUGUACCACGGGUUCGUGCCGGUGCCUGUGUCGUCCUCUCUGCCCCAGCAUAAAGCCAAUGCUCCCUCUGGUGAGGGCAUGGAGGUGGUGAUGGAGAACAGUGCCCCCCAGUGGCAAGAGGACUGUACUCACAAACGCAGUAGAAAUGAACAUCCUUACAUAGAGCCAGCGUAUGUGUUGAAGGAGCACACUCCUGAGGAGGAGCUGGACAGCAUGAGAUGAGAGAGGAGGAGGAGGAGGAGGAGGAAGAGGAGGAGGAGGACAGCAUGAGAUGAGAGAGGAGGAGGAGGAGGAGGAGGAGGAGGAGUGGUAGAAUGAUAAUACGGACAGUGUGGAGUUCAAAUGAGCUUAAGAUUGAAAGCUUUUGAAUUCAGGGAUUGCCAGUUGUUUUUGAUAUGCACUCUGUAAUGGUUUUACUCAAGGAGUGGUUGAAGACGUGUAAAUAUGCUGUGUGUUUGAAUAGACACUAAGAGACUGUAAAUCUUUCUGUGAAUGAAGGGCAGUGUCUGUUUCUACACUCUCAGGCCUUGCUGUUUUUUUAAAUGAUGAAGAAUGUAAAAAUAGCUUUUGCUAUAUUUUUGUACUUUUGCCUUGAUCUCAGUGACUGAACACCCGUGUGAUUUGUAAUGCUUUAUUUGAAACCUAUUCUAAACACAGACGUGAUGACUAAUGUCUGUUUUCAAAUGUAUUCUGAACACGAAUCACGUGAUUGGUAAUGUCUGUUUUAAAACGUAUUCUCUACAAUUGCUGACACGUUUUGAGUGUUGAUGUGAAGAUUACUUUUUGAAGAGAGUUGUGUGGCCAUCGCUUUACUACUGACGUGUAGGCAUGGAGAGUAACGUCAAGGUGGCCCGAACCGUACACUUUGUUUAGGACGUGAUUUUCUGAGACAGCUUUUGGAAGACGCAUAUUUUGGAAUUAAGUAGUAUUCAUGGUGAAACGGAGAUGAGUCGGCUUCAUAUGUAAACCAUUCCAAUAAAAUACUUGCCAUGCCAGCUAAUGCCUCACCCCCCCCCCCCCCCCCCGAGUCUGAUCUGUUAUAUCUCAGGACGGACUUCCUUGUGACAUUUUAGAAUCAGAAUCAGAAUGGGAUUUAUUGGAAUUUUUUCUGGUGUGAAGGUGCAUACAGUAAACAUAAAAACAUACAAACACAAUAAGUACUACACAUAACAUACAAACAUAAAAACACAAAUAAGUACUACACAUAAGAAAAGUACUACACAUAAGAACCAAAAAACACAAUAUAUACGAUACAAAUAGAUAAACAAUGAAUAAAAAAAAGUAU
ensembl:lncRNA